rnacentral:rRNA from 1 species
CCUACGGGUGACAGCAGUGGGGAAUAUUGCGCAAUGGGCGAAAGCCUGACGCAGCGACGCCGCGUGAGGGAUGAAGGUCUUAGGAGCGGAAACCUCUGUCAGCAGGGAAGAACGGUCACUGUGCUAAGCAGCAGUGAAUUGACGGUACCUGCAAAGGAAGCACAGGCUAACUCCGUGCCAGCAGCCGCGGUAAGACGGAGGGUGCGAGCGUUAAUCGGAAUUACUGGGCGUAAAGCGCUCGUAGGCGGUAUGUCAAGUCAAGGGUGAAAUCCCCGCGCUCAACGUGGGAACUGCCUUUGAAACUGGCAACCUGGAGUGUGUGAGAGGAUAGUGGAAUUCCCGGUGU